CCUACGGGUGGCAGCAGUGAGGAAUAUUGGUCAAUGGGCGGAAGCCUGAACCAGCCAAGUCGCGUGAGGGAAUAAGGCCCUACGGGUCAUAAACCUCUUUUGCCGGGGAGCAAGGGCGGGGAAGUGUCCCGGCCCGGAGAGUACCCGGAGAAAAAGCAUCGGCUAACUCCGUGCCAGCAGCCGCGGUAAUACGGAGGAUGCGAGCGUUAUCCGGAUUUAUUGGGUUUAAAGGGUGCGUAGGCGGGCUUUUAAGUCAGCGGUAAAAAUUCGGGGCUCAACCCCGUCCGGCCGUUGAGACUGGGGACAUAGAGUGGGCGAGAGGAAGGCGGAAUGCGUGGUGAAGCGGUGAAAUGCAUAGAUAUCACGCAGAACCCCGAUGGCGAAGGCAGACUUCCGGCGCCCUACUGACGCUGAGGGACGAAAGUGCGGGGAUCGAACAGGAUUAGAUACCCUUGUAGUC
rnacentral:rRNA from 1 species